AGCGAACGCUGGCGGCAGGCUUAACACAUGCAAGUCGAGCGCCCGUAGCAAUACGGGAGCGGCAGACGGGUGAGUAACACGUGGGAACGUGCCUUUCGGUUCGGAACAACCCAGGGAAACUUGGGCUAAUACCGGAUACGCCCUUACGGGGAAAGAUUUAUCGCCGAAAGAUCGGCCCGCGUCUGAUUAGCUAGUUGGUGGGGUAAGUGGCUCACCAAGGCGGACGAUCAGUAGCUGGUCUGAGAGGAUGAUCAGCCACACUGGGACUGAGACACGGCCCAGACUCCUACGGGAGGCAGCAGUGGGGAAGUCUUGGACAAUGGGCGCAAGCCUGAUCCAGCCAUGCCGCGUGAGUGAUGAAGGCCCUAGGGUUGUAAAGCUCUUUCGGCGGGGAAGAUAAUGACGGUACCCG
rnacentral:rRNA from 1 species